ACUGUCCUGUAGUACAACACCCAGUAACAGAAAAGGGGGAUUCUUCCAGCAUGAGAAGAAAAACAAACAAGCCACAACAACAAAAAGAGAACCAAAUCUAAAAGAGACAAAUGCAUUUUAAAACAGGUGCAAAGAAACCUUCACAAGAAGGGAAACGCACGCCUGCAAAUUCAAAUAGAAAUUACAGCCGCAGGUAAAAUUUAAGCUUAUUUUAAGGAACCUCAUGCUUGUUCAUGAUGUUACCUUGUACCUUUUGUUGUGUGGGGUUUUAGGAAGCAAACAUUAGGAGUUUACAUUUAAAAGUAAGCAAAGCAUAUAGCUCCUUAGACUAGUAAAAAUAAACCAAAACCAACCAAAAAAAGAAGGCAACCAACCAACCAGAAAACCCAAACCACCUACAAUACUUAGCUCAUAAAUGCUGAUUUUGAGCAUUAUUUUUACCCUGCAUUCCAUGUCCAACCCUUUUUCUUGCAACAGAGAAAUUCACACAGGCUGUGGCUCACAGCUCUCGGUGCUUAAUUCAUAAGGUAUGUAUUUUUCCACCUGCCUGCCAGAAGUCAAUGCUGCUGAUAUCUGCUACAAAUCAAAACCUGGAGAGCCAAUGAGCAGAACUGGAAAGCUUUGUCAGACAGCAAUGGACACCUUUGGAUUCAAGCGGGGCUGUAAAGACUACAUGGGGUCAGGGAGGGAGGGGGCAAUGAGAUCUCUCUGCUGCUCUAUGUGGAAGGAUGCAUAUCUGUCUCCACAAACAGAGGUGAGAAAGGGUCCUUCAGGUGCCUUCACCAGUUUCCACCCAGCUACCAGUGUCUCCUCAGCUUCCUGGGCACAUCAACAGUGUUUUGGCACAUCAUUUCCAGUGUCACCUUCAACAUCCUCCAUCCAUCUAAAUGUCAGCUGUGUAAAAUGCUCUCCCAAGACACUUAAUCCAUCUUUUCUAUGUAGUGUUAUUAGUGGGGUCAUUCCAAAGCAGAAAGCCACAGUUAACUGUUCAACUACUGUGCCAUCAUGCAUUAUAUCAAAGAGAUUAACACAACCAGAAAGAAAAAGCAGAGCCCUCCAUGGUUUCCUUUAAGCAGCGGAGCUAGAUUAUGUUCCAGUGAGCCUCAAAGAUAUCCCCAGUGAAGAGGAGCAUUAAUUCGUUAUCAAAGUACAAUUACAAAACAACACACACUAGGUCAAACUCCUGACAGAAUUAUUCCUGUACAAAAAUCUGGAGUUUCUCCACAGAUGUUUAGAGCCAGCUUCUAUAUCAUCACCUCUGGGUCUUCCCACAGCUUUUGUGGAUUUUAGGCACAGUCAUUUCUUGGGAGCUAUUCCCACCAACAGGCAGGAAGCAGUCCUUCUCCUCAGGUCUGGAGGACCAUCAAGACCCCAUAAGGUGUCCUGCAGAACAUCUGUGCCACAGUACCAAAGCUGAGCUCCCUUGGCCCCUAUCAAGGACUGCUGCAUGGGAUCAGACCAUCCUCACAGUUCUGAGACUGAUCCAAGAUACUACUGAAGACUAACUCAAAGGAGGCAAAAGCACAGACACAUUUAACCAACACCCACAGAUCCAGCAUGUAAAUUCCUUCUGUCAUUACAGAAGGUGUCUCAGGUACCAUCAAGCCCAUCUCACACCCCUCUCUCAUGCAGCUUUGGUUACUUUGAUGGUUGCUACCAAAUUUCCCUUUCUUGAUUUCAGUGUUGUCACUCAACAUAUACCAAGUCACCCUUUAGCUUAAGUUUAAGUUGAAGUGUAUAUUUAAACUUCCAGACACAGACUAUGGUAACUCUUAAUUAAUACUUUAGACACGCAGAUAGGUGCUGUCUGCCUGAUAACCUUAGGAACCAUUUAUGGUCAUCUCUACAUAAACUACACUAAAGCUACCUGUUUUAGUGCAAAAAGCUGCAAAGCUAAGCACUGACUAUGUUGCAAAAGACUAAUCAAACUUGCACAAGCAAUCAAUUUUGACAGCCCCUACUACAUGCAAGCAUUAUAAUAUAGAUUUUAAUUUUAUGAUCAAACAUAUGAUUCAACUUUUGAUGUGGUCCUUCCUGACCUUAUUGGGUUUCAUAUUACUUUCUUUGCCUUCAGGCUAAUAAACUGAGAACCUAUAAACGGGAAAAUAGUUGGCUUUUGGCAGUCUGUGCCAGUGAAAGAUUCCUAGAUCUCAGAAGGGCCAAGCAGGUUUGUGCUCUGGUCACAAUUCACUAGCAAAAGAAGUAGACAGAAUCAGGGGAUCACCAGCACAAGUUACAUCAACCUUUCCUGUGUUUAAGUACCUUAAAUUUCUGCUUUGGGUUUAUCUUACUUCAUAAAAGAAAAUUGUAAUAUUACAGCUACAGCAACACAGUCAUUUCAGCUAACACCCUGUACUUUUUUUCUCGAAGUGAUUAAAGGCUGUAAGUAAAAGGAAAGAAAAACUGAGAAGUAACAGCAGGUUUUCCCCAGUUAUCCUGUAAAGUUUUAAACUUAGAGCCUUUCUUCUGGAAAGUACACAUUUUGAAAGCUUUUCUGCUCUUCAGCUGUUCUCACCCUUGCUGCUAUGCAGGCCAAGGUGUUUGUGCCUGUAACCGUGCCCUCAGGUUAGGGCAGGCAGCUCAGCUCAUGGGCCAAGGCAAGCCUGUACCCAUUCCACCCAAGGACAGCACAGCCACACUCUGCAGUCUGGCCACCAGGUACCCCAGCCCCACCAGACCAGGCACAUGUGACACACCAUGUUUUUAAUUCAGGAAAUCCCAGACAGAAACACGAGGGCAAUCUCAUUUCAUCAACAAGAAACACAAUCAGCUUAACACAAAAGGUUUGUAAGGCAGUGGGUUCAUGCUUUCUAUGAGCCCUGCUCUCUCUGCUCACCAGUGGCUCAUGCUUUGCCAAACCCAGAGAGGAGCCAAGGACAACCAUCUCACAUGCACCCCUCUGGCACUGGGGUGUGCCAUGAGUUAGGAGGAGUUGUGCCCAGGAGAAGCUGCUACUAAUGACUGUGCUGGGACUCUGUGUACACCUCUGCUACAGCUGCCCACACAGAAAAGGAAAUGUUAGGAAGUGGGACUCCAAGCCAGAUUGUUUUGAAAAAGAGAAGGUGUUUUAGUUAGGUUGUGCUGUCUUGGCAGAGAGACUAUCAAAACUGCUACAUCAGUGCUCACCCACGAGCUCACCUUAUCACGGGCAUGAUAAAGCUAAACCAGGGGAGCUUCAAGCUAUUUAACUGCAAACAAUUUCAACACAAGCUCACGUACUUUAAAGGCAGAAAGGACCUGUGCUACAUUAAAACUCACCUGAAAGCCUACCAGUCUUGCACCAGGACUGAAUGCUGUAGCAGAUUUCCUAAGGUACUUUAAAAGAGUAAUACAAAAGUAACAUAUUUUCUCAAAUGCAGUGGAAGAAGAUCAGCCUUCUAAGGCCACAAUAUUAGCCUCCAUCCACAGUAAAUUACAGCACCAUGAAGAACUAUUUGUGAAUUGCAGUUCUCUUAAAAAUAUUGAUUCCUGAAACACAGACACACACUCACACUUACCUAGUGCCAUCUCUCUCAGGGCAAAUUCUGCUGCUGACAGCACAGAAGGCCACCACUUCUGCUUGCCACAUCCAGGGAAUGUCUGUCAAAGCUGGUUCUGUUCAGCCCAACAAAUGAACCUCCCAGCUAUGACAGCAAGAGCUGCUACACACUCCAUCACAAUGGGCAGGCUUCUAUCAGGGCUAAGGGACACAGAGUGUAUGGAUGCCAGCCUGGUCAGGGAGAGAGAAAUGGCAAUCGUUUCUCACAGUGGCUUCUGAGAAUUUUUAGGGAGUUACAGGAAUGCAAUAACUUGUUAGUCUAAACAAUCUGCAGGUGGUGUUUUUCCAUCUUGCUUUUCUGUUCAAGGAUACUGUAUGAGAAGGAUGUUUUUAUUAAUUAACUGAUCAAAUAGAAUGUAUCGUAUCGAUAUAUUUAAGCCGAAGUUUCCCUUCCAUAAAGGCCUUUUCUUCCUUUUAACACUGUGUCCUGUCUGGUUUUGUGUCAUUCUUGGUGCAAGGGUGACAGCAGUGUACCCCAUUACCAAGAGAAAGCAAAAAUACUCCCUAUCCUGCUCCCUAAAGCACAUGCUGACAAUUAGAGAAAUGAAAUUAGCUGUCAGUUUGGCCUGGGCCCAGGCUCAGCCCCAGGGCAGCUGGCAAUACACCCAUUUCUCUGACUCCCCAGGAGCUGAGGGGUUCAACACGACUGGCAGAGAGGCAUUUGCAUGCUCUGCUUGGAAAGCAAACAAAGCCCCAAAGACCAGCAAGGGUCCCCAAAGAGGACAAGGUGAGGCAGCAGCCAGGAAGAGGAAGUCUGAGGCAGCAGCUGACUACCCAGCAUCAUGGAUGCACUAGUCUUGUGGCUUUGUCCAGGAAAGACAAAUUUUGCGCGUUCAUGAACAGAACAGCCCAAACAAAAGUUGUGUCUGCUCCCCAUCCUCAAUUGAAAUAUUCUGGACAGCAGUUUUCUGACAGUACCCCUCUGUGUGAAGGGGAUGGUGCUACGGUCACUCCUCACAGCAGCGCUAACCACUUCUGCCCCAUGGCAUCAGCAACUCAAACAGUAAAGUCCGGUGCUUCACCACAGCACCACAGAAUCACCAAAUCAAUUAAAUUGGAAAAGACAUCUGAGAUCAUUGAGUCCAACCUGUGACCAAACACCCCUGUGUCAAGACCACAGCACUGAGUGCCAUGUCCAGUCUUUUCUUAAACACCUCCUAGGACAGACCC
ensembl:lncRNA